CCAAUUAGCCUCUCUAUAAAUGUACCCGACCUAGAAUGUAACUUCGUCUCUCACCAUGGCUCGUAUGUCUCAAAGCAAGAGGUGGUGCACAUCCAUGCAGCCGAUGUUCUCUGAAUCCAGCCGAUCGUCGUGGCCGAGUCACCUUCAAGUAGGACUGUUUUGACCAGUAGAACACGCCGUAUAUAACUUAGACCAAUCCACACCGC
rnacentral:lncRNA from 1 species